rnacentral:lncRNA from 1 species
GGCCGAGAAGUUGAACUUAUUUUUGUUGUAUCUUGGAUGAAUGUUGUGUGUCUAGUUCUAGGAUUUAUUUUUCUUGUGUUAUUGUUUCAAGUGUUAGUAUUCUUGUCCAUUAACACUUUGAGUCGAUUUAGAUUUAAGCUUUAAAAAUUUGAUGUUGUUGUUGUGAACAAGACUAUGGCCGUGUUUUGAAGUUGUUGUUCUUGGACUUACGGACUUGUUUUUAUAGUCUUGGAUGGAUGUUGUUGGU